ensembl:lncRNA
UCUCGCUUAGGGCUUCGGCUCAAUUUAAAGGUUUCAUGUUGGACGCUCGUAAGUGUGAUGAGUGUGCGUCUGCUGGCAGGUUUCAUUUAAUCCAGACUGAACCGAACAACAGCAUACUCAUCUGUGAUGUGAGUCCUGCCCUGCACCCACGACUAGGCCUACACAUAUUAGUUAUCCAUUCUUUAUACAUUUUUACACCAUGUGUUAAAUGUUAGUAGCAAUUAAUUCCCUAAACUGACUUGCACUAUUUAUGAUAUGGAUAUAUUAUCAGGACCGUGUUGUGGCUCAAAGUAAUAACCAAAGAAAAACGAUAGUUAAUGUGUUGUGGAUCCCCGAAGAGACUGGAGUGUUUUUCUUCAGAGCUGCUUUCGUUGAAGAUUUCAGUAUUUUUUGGCUAAGGAAGCCGAUCAUACUCACGACGACUGCAUCACCCACCACUGAAUCCACCAGUCACAGUACACAAACAAGUCCAACAGAUAUGUCACAGACACAGACUGCAUCACUGACCUCUGAAGCCACAAGUACACAAAUAAAAACUCAUAUGCUACAGUUACAAAAAAACAAAACAAACUAAAUACCAAACCAGUUAAAAACCAGUGUUUUACAUAUAACACUUUUCUUUUCAUUUUCUUGUAGUUGCACUAGCAUCGCCGCCUCAGUGUCUACAAUAUAUGAGAUAUGCUUUAGCACUGUUAUUAUUCAGUCGACUGUGUUUUCUUGGAGGCUCUUCUCUCCUGAUGAUUUUCAGACCAGCGUCAAAAAUGGCCACCAUGAUUGCGUCUGUCUUUGAACCAGCCUCCAAAACUAUUGCUGUCAUCUUCGUACUAAUAAAACUAAUUAAAUAUGAGUGUGCGUGUGAGUGUGAUAGUUUGCAGAUUGUGUUUAGUGCUUUGACAGUGGCUGCCAUGGUUUCAAGCCUGCUGCACACUCUCACCGUUUUCCUUUACUGUGGACCAAGCCAUGAAUUAAGGAAGUGUUGGCUCUGUGCCAUUAUAAUUGUUGGCCUAAUGAAUACUAUCAUUACAACAACUGCAAUAUUCUUUGAAAUAUGGUGCUUUCAAGAGCGCUGGCUGCCAUUAUUAAUGGGAGUUUUUGUUGUUUGGGAGUUCAUGCUUUAUCUUGGCUCAGUUUGCUGUGAACAGAUGGAAAAAUACAGGUCAAGAAAAAAUCAGAAUCGUACUGCGGAAAAGAGGAUAUCCCCAUGGUUGUUUAUGUUCAUCAUCUUUUCAGUGUUUAAUGCAAUGUUUACAGCUGCACUCAUAACAGGAGUGUCUUUGGUCAAAACGAAAAAUAGUUGA